rnacentral:rRNA from 1 species
UAUGUGAUCGUCUCUCGCAUAUCAAUAAGCGGAGGAAAAGAAACUAACAAGGAUUCCCCUAGUAACGGCGAGUGAAGCGGGAAGAGCUCAAAUUUGAAAUCUUAAAGGGUUUCCCUUUACGAAUUGUAGUUUAAAGAAGUGUUUUCUGUUGAGGUUUUGGUAAAAGUUCUUUGGAAUAGGACAUCAUAGAGGGUGAGAAUCCCGUAUUUGACCUUUACUUUCAACUUUGUGAUACACUUUCAAAGAGUCGGAUUGUUUGGGAAUGCAGUCCAAAAUGGGUGGUAAAUUUCAUCUAAAGCUAAAUAUUGGCGAGAGACCGAUAGCGAACAAGUACCGUGAGGGAAAGAUGAAAAGAACUUUGAAAAGAGAGUUAAACAGUACGUGAAAUUGUCAAAAGGGAAGCGUUUGACACCAGUGUUGUUUUUCUGAAAAUCAAUUAAAGAACUGUUUAUGCUAAGCUUGUUUAGACUUUAUCAGCUAACUGUUUAGUUUUGAGCUUUUCUUUAAUGCACUUUUCAGUUAACAAGUCAACAUCAAUUUCUUUUGCUGUAAAAAAGCUUGAGGAAGGUGGCUUGAGAUUCGUCUUAAGUGUUUCAUAGCCUCUUGCCUAUGCAGUCGGAGAGAUUGAGGUCUGCAGCGUAGAUCCUUCGGGGCUAAAUGCAUUUGUGCUAAGUUAUAGCAUUUUAUAGACAACUUGUUGACUAUGAUUUGUCUUGUAGCUUACUCGCUUAUGUUAUUUUACCUACGCUUAGGAUGUUGAACGCGCACAGAGUCUC